AGUGCUCACUUGGGCAUUACAUGAGAAAAACUGGAACAAUACAGAGAUUAGUAUGACCCUGCACAAGGAAGAUACGCACAGUGGUAAAGCAUUUCACAGAAGA
ensembl:snRNA U6 U6 spliceosomal RNA